rnacentral:rRNA from 1 species
GCUGGCGGCAUGCCUUACACAUGCAAGUCGAGCGGCAGCGCGGGGGCAACCCUGGCGGCGAGCGGCGAACGGGUGAGUAAUACAUCGGAACGUGUCCUUUCGUGGGGGAUAACCAGUCGAAAGACUGGCUAAUACCGCAUACGAUCUAUGGAUGAAAGCAGGGGACCGCAAGGCCUUGUGCUCCUGGAGCGGCCGAUAUCUGAUUAGCUAGUUGGUGGGGUAAAGGCCCACCAAGGCAUCGAUCAGUAGCUGGUCUGAGAGGACGACCAGCCACACUGGAACUGAGACACGGUCCAGACUCCUACGGGAGGCAGCAGUGGGGAAUUUUGGACAAUGGGCGCAAGCCUGAUCCAGCAAUGCCGCGUGAGUGAAGAAGGCCUUCGGGUUGUAAAGCUCUUUUGUCAGGGAAGAAACGGUGGCGGCUAAUAUCUGCCACUAAUGACGGUACCUGAAGAAUAAGCACCGGCUAACUACGUGCCAGCAGCCGCGGUAAUACGUAGGGUGCAAGCGUUAAUCGGAAUUACUGGGCGUAAAGCGUGCGCAGGCGGUUUUGUAAGUUUGUCGUGAAAUCCCCGGGCUCAACCUGGGAAUGGCGAUGAAGACUGCAAGGCCAGAGUUUGGCAGAGGGGGGUAGAAUUCCACGUGUAGCAGUGAAAUGCGUAGAUAUGUGGAGGAACACCAAUUGCGAAGGCAGCUCGCUGGGACGUUACUGACGCUGAGACGCGAAAGCGUGGGGA